rnacentral:lncRNA from 1 species
GGAGAUGAUGGCCCUGAAAGGUACUAUCUCUACCGGCCGAGAAAAACUCCUUCGCGCUGCUCCUCCAAGUUCUUUGUAACAAAUAGCUGAAUAUAAUUUCAAUCGAUUCGCGUCAUGUGAUGACGCAUCGGUAGGGAUGCAGCUCGCAGGCUUCAAUACGACCGAAAUGAACGAGGAACUACUUAGUUGCAAUCUCCUUAACCUUAGUGCGCCCAGCCAGCAACACCAUAGUUCAACUAAAUCUAAUAUGCGAUCUUAAGGUUCUAGUUUCACUGCUGGUUUCUGAUGCGAAAAUGAUUUGCGCAGCGCAGCUUGGACAGCCCGGCUCUUCUACUGGCCCGGAGCCUAUCCAGCCUCGCCGGUGUAAUGCCUAUGUGCCACCGACCUACGAUGUGUGCAUACGGGCGGAUCGGACCAAUGGUUGGGGCCAUAUGCCAAACGCCACCAUGCCACGUGGCAGUUUCGGAAUACUGGCAACACGGAUAGGGGCCGCGCAUGGAUACUCGACGUGGACCUAACACUGGUGACUUAGGCAGGGGAGCACCCAACCAUAGAACGUGAGCCACAGUGACACACACCUCAGCUCCUGGAGCUCCUAAGAUUUUACCUUAUUCCGCACCUACGUGGGUUUGGGGUGGUAAUCGUGGAAGGGAAUGUGCACGCCUGCAGCGCACCGUAGUGCCAGUAAAAGUAGGUGACUGAAACUUUGGCGACGGCCUAAAAAAGUUCCUAAAAUGAUUCUUGCAAUGAUCCUUGCAGUUGGUGAUGGCCCGGAGAUCGUUUUGCAACUGUGUGACGAAUAUUGGUGAUGGCCGCAUGUCAACUUGAUCGUCGUAGGGAAUGUGGGCGCAAUGCUGCAGCCAGCCGACGACAAUGACGCCACUCCGGUUGUCAACAGCGAGCGGGCCAAACAUCAACGUUCGUCAUAUGGAGACAAUCGCGAUGGUCCAGGAAACAGGCUGCGUUUGGCGGUUCCGGUUCAUUGCUGCUAUGCAUCAUUACUUUUGCAACCCGGAAAGUCGUGUAAUGUUAUCUUUCAACGUGAUGCAAGACGAACGAUGGUGAACGAACUCUAUUCGAUCAGUGUUUGAGAGAUUGUGGUGACGCGUGUUGCGGCAUUCCCCACGGCGUUUGCACGAAGUAAACUGUAACUCAUCGGGG